UACAGAGGUCUCAAGCGUUGUUCGGAUUCAUUGGGCGUAAAGGGUGCGUAGGUGGCAUGGUAAGUCGGAUGUGAAAUCCCGGGGCUCAACCCCGGAACUGCAUUCGAUACUGCUGCGCUGGAGUACUGGAGAGGAGAUUGGAAUUUACGGUGUAGCAGUGAAAUGCGUAGAUAUCGUAAGGAAGACCAGUGGCGAAGGCGGAUCUCUGGACAGUUACUGACACUGAGGCACGAAGGCCAGGGGAGCAAACGGG
rnacentral:rRNA from 1 species